rnacentral:rRNA from 1 species
UACAGAGGUCUCAAGCGUUGUUCGGAUUCAUUGGGCGUAAAGGGUGUGUAGGUGGCGCGCUAAGUCGGGUGUGAAAUUUCGGAGCUUAACUCCGAAACUGCAUUCGAUACUGGCGUGCUUGAGGACUGGAGAGGAGACUGGAAUUUACGGUGUAGCAGUGAAAUGCGUAGAUAUCGUAAGGAAGACCAGUGGCGAAGGCGGGUCUCUGGACAGUUCCUAACACUGAGACACGAAGGCCAGGGGAGCAAACGGG